rnacentral:rRNA from 1 species
AACGAACGCUGGCGGCAUGCCUAACACAUGCAAGUCGAACGAGACCUUCGGGUCUAGUGGCGCACGGGUGCGUAACGCGUGGGAACCUGCCCUUAGGUUCGGAAUAACUCCCCGAAAGGGGUGCUAAUACCGGAUAAUGUCUUCGGACCAAAGAUUUAUCGCCUUUGGAUGGGUCCGCGUUGGAUUAGCUAGUUGGUAGGGUAAAAGCCUACCAAGGCGACGAUCCAUAGCUGGUCUGAGAGGAUGAUCAGCCACACUGGGACUGAGACACGGCCCAGACUCCUACGGGAGGCAGCAGUGGGGAAUAUUGGACCAUGGGCGAAAGCCUGAUCCAGCAAUGCCGCGUGAGUGAUGAAGGCCUUAGGGUUGUAAAGCUCUUUUACCCGGGAUGAUAAUGACAGUACCGGGAGAAUAAGCUCCGGCUAACUCCGUG